ensembl:snoRNA
AGUGAGGUCCUUUUUAAAAAAAGAUAAUAUUAAAAUAUGAAUAAAUUGGAAAUGCCUCAUAGACUAACUCUGCAGUUUCAUUUUACCCACAGGACCAUUGUUAGAUUUGUGGGAAAGAACUACAAGACAGUU